rnacentral:lncRNA from 1 species
UGUUUUUUUUUUCUUUCUUCUUUUUUUAAAGUAUUUUGCAGGGACAUCUGGGUGGCUUAGUGGUUGAGCGUCUGCCUUCAGCUCAGGGCAUGAUUCUGGAGUCCCAGGAUUGAGUCCCAUAUCAGGCUCCCUGCAUGGAGCCUGCUUCUCCCUCUGCCUGUGUCUCUGCCUCUCUUUCCAUGUCUCUCAUGAAUAAAUAAAUAAAAUCUUUUUUAAAAAAGGUAUUUUAAAAUAGAGGGAAAGAUGCCAUAUUACAAAGCCACAAUCUUUUAAACUACCUUGCUCAUGGAUGAAUCUUCUCUUGACUUCAGAAGAUAGGACUCUAUUCUCAAGGUCUAUUGUUACUUGUUCUGCAUAUCAUGGAUUACAAAAACAACAUUAUAUGAUCACCAUUUUCAAAACUACUUAUUUUCUCAAAUCCUUUCUUUUAUGUAUGUCAGGAGAGAGAAAUGCAGAGUCUACAUAUACAAGCAAGAAGGAACUACAUUCAUGUAGGCUAUCAGGUGGUUUUGCUGAACAGACCACAUUCUGUGCCUCAAGUAAAUGUUUAGUGUGCCUACCAAAUACUAGACGUGCUGAAGAUAAAGCAGUGGAUAAGACAUACUCUCUAUUCACAAGACACUUGUAAAAUAUUUUUGAAGAAUAAAGACAUAAAAAGAUAAUUCAUGGGGCAUCUGGGUGGCACAGUCAGUUGAACCUCCAACUCUUGGUUUCAGCUCAGGUUGUGAUCUGAGUGUCAUGGGAUUGAGCCCCACAGGGGUGGUGUGGGGGUUGCUGAAAUUGAAAUUCUCUUUCCCUUUUUCUCUGUACUUUCUGUUUAUGCUAUCUCAAAUAAAUAAAUCUUUUUUAAAAAGAUAAUUUAUAAUACAAGAUGGUAAACAAUUUAAUCACCUGGAGAGAUAAUACCUAUAAGAAUUCCAGGUGAGGGCAGCCUGGAUGGCUCAGAGGUUCAGCGCCGCCUUCAGCCUAGGGCGUGGUCCUAGAGACCUGGGAUUGAGUCCCACAUCGGGCUCUGCAUGGAGCCUGGUUCUCCCUCUGCCUGUUUCUCUCUCUCUCUCUCUCUCUCUCUCUCUCUCUCUCUCUCUCUCUCCCUCUCUUGAAUAAAUAAAUAAAAUCUUUUAAAAAAGAGAGAGAGAGAGAAAAGAAUUCCAUGUGAAAGAGAGAUCAAGCUGUUUGGUGUAGUAAGGAGAUCAUCAGGGCAGGGAACAGUGCUUGAUCUGGACAUUAAAGGAUGGAUGGUCUGGCAACCCACAGGUUGGCUCCAAUGUCAUUCACCUGUUCCUCAUUGCUUUUAGAUCUCUGAUUGUGUUUGUACAGAAAUGUGCCCAUUCUGAAAAAUAAGUCAUGUCUUAUGGUAAUCCUGCUGUCUUUGCAGUUGAUGGAUCUAGGGAUGGGUUUAGGGUACAGUUUCACUCAAAUUCUUGGAAAUACUGUUUUGCUGUUUGCCCCACUUACUUAUUUGCUUGUAUCCCUGUCCUACAAAGAUAUGAGUCUGAAAGCUGAAUCAGCCUUCUAGUGAACAUUAUAGAGGGCAUCACCAAGACAAUGAAGGUAGUAGAAUACAAGGAUGAUCAAGUCUGGGUCACUGGUGAUGUUGCAGAGCUAUUCUGUCAACCCUGGGACUGCUCACCUCCAAAUUUUCUGUUAUGUGAAAUAACUAUGCCUUUAUUACUUAAAAUACUUUAGUUGGCUAUUCCAUUACUGAUACAGGUGGCUCAGGAAUUCCAAGAAGAACAGCAAGAGUUAUUAGCAUGUUUGGGGAUGAUGAAUGGAUGAAUUUGACUAGGUAAACUAGAGGGCUUGAUAAAAGCAAUAAACACUGAAAUCGAGUGAGAAAAAGCAUGAAAUUUAGAACCAGAUAGAUCUGCGAUCCAAUCCUGGUUUGGUCAUUGAAGAUCUAUGUGACCAUACCAAGUUCUCCCACUUUGCAUCUGUAAAAUGGACAUACUUAAGUAUACCUUGUAGUAAGUGUUACUGUGUU